GUUUCCUCAGCUUUGUAUGUAAAGUGGAAAAAAUCUGUACUUGAUAUAUAUGAAUAAAGAAACUUUGGAUUUUGAUUUUAUAAAGUUGCUUUUGCUUAGGUAUGGAAUUUUUCCGCCAAGCUGGCAAACAAUGAGAAGAUGGUCCCUGUCAUCCAUGCUCUGGUGCCUAAUGUAGAGUUUCAAGUUGUCUACUAUAAACCCCACCAAACACAUGCAGCAUACGAGAGUAGAUAAUGGCUUAGUUUGUCUUUCAAGCUUUCUCGGUUUGUUUUGUUUUUACUUUGUACUGUAAAUUAUAAUGUCUACUCUAAAACUAUGUUAAGUAAGGAUCAAAUUUACAAGGAACCUUAUAGUCUCUAGUGAAUUAUGUUUUAGCUGAGUUUUAGCCAUGCCCUCUAACUAAGGAAUCAUUGUGAAAUACCUCAUGUUAGGAUAAUACAUUAAAUGGGGGAACGUAUGUAGAAUUAAUGUUUAGCACAAAAUGGUAAUAUUGUUAUAUUAUUAAGCCUAGAACUUCUUUCAGGUGCAGGAAAUAGUGGUAAGUUUAUUUGUAAUCAAACCAAAUUUGGAUAAUUUUCAAGCGUCAUUCAAGAGAUGUUUUAGCAUAAAAUGUUUUACCAGUUCAGAUCUUAUAUCCCUCACACAUUUUAAUCACUGUCUAUCAUAAUAGAGUUACAUAACAUACACAAAUAAAGUUAGUUUUUUCAUAUUAAUAAUCAUUCUAAUGAAGAGUUACCUCUCAAAUUGAAUAAAAGAAUAAAACAUUGUUAUUUACAA